rnacentral:lncRNA from 1 species
GAAGAAAUACAUUUUAUUUAUAGUGACCGCCUGUUCCACAUCUUGUGCCAACUUUUUUGCGUUUUCCCUUGCCCAAGUCUUCUUGUCUUUGUCUUGCGAGAGACGGAGAUGAGUCGGAAGACAGAUCUUCAUGUUGACUUUGAUGUUGUUGUGAUGUGUUUGGAGGCAUAUCAAUACCGUCGAGUUCUUGAAUGGAAAAAGAAGGCAUAUUCAGUAGACGGUCAUCGGUGAGGUCAAAGUCGGGUAGUGAAUGUGUGGGUUGUGUGUAGGUGUUGGAUUGAGUGUGUUGGAUAUGGGGAUAGUAGACAUCAUCAGGGUUGUAUGUAGGAGUGGGUUGUGCGAAUGUGGUGUUAAAUGUUUGGGGUUGAGAAUGAGGGUUUGAGUUAUCAAAGUUGGGUUAAAGAAUUGGAGAGUAUUGUAUGGGUGGACGUAGGUUGGUUUGUUGUUGAUAUUGUUGGUUGUAAAAGUAGUUUGUUUGUGGGAAUAAAGUGUGGGGAUUAUGGUGUUGGGUUGAGGUGGAAUAAAUGGUGUGUUGUUGGAUGGUAGGGAGUGUUGGUAAGUUUGUUGAGCUGAUGAUGAUGGUUGGACCCCAAAUUUGGAUGUGUAUGCGGGGGAAUGUCUUGAUGUAAGGGUGAUGUUGUUUGUUGGGUUGAAGAAGCUACACGACGAGGAUCAGUCAAAAAUUGUGUUGGAGCAACGUGCGUAAAAGGAAUUGACAAAAACCAAUUCAUGUAUUCUCUACCUGGCUUAGACUCACCAAUAACCGAGUUACCUUGUAACACCAAAUGCCUUCCAUUUUCCAUUCUUUUAGCUCUUCUUUGUUUAAAUCUUGUCAAUGUUUAUCCCAAGCUUGGACCAUAGUCAAAUUAUGGUGUUCACUUAGACAUCUUGGUUGAGACGGGAUUUGUUAUUCAAAUCCAAAUUGGAGUUUGACCUGAUGCAUCUCAACGGUAAAGAAACAUAAUAUAUAUGUCGUUGCACUCCAAACUCGGCUGUCACUAUAAUCAUGCACUAAAU